rnacentral:rRNA from 1 species
GAGCUUGCUCUUAUGACGUUAGCGGCGGACGGGUGAGUAACACGUGGGCAACCUGCCCUAAAGAUUGGGAUAACUCCGGGAAACCGGGGCUAAUACCGAAUAACCUUUUGAACCUCAUGGUUCAAAAUUGAAAGGCGGCUUCGGCUGUCACUUAUGGAUGGACCCGCGUCGCAUUAGCUAGUUGGUGAGGUAACGGCUCACCAAGGCAACGAUGCGUAGCCGACCUGAGAGGGUGAUCGGCCACACUGGGACUGAGACACGGCCCAGACUCCUACGGGAGGCAGCAGUAGGGAAUCUUCCGCAAUGGACGAAAGUCUGACGGAGCAACGCCGCGUGAGUGAUGAAGGCUUUCGGGUCGUAAAACUCUGUUGUUAGGGAAGAACAAGUGCUAGUUGAAUAGGCUGGAACCUUGACGGUACCUAACCAAAAAGCCACGGCUAACUACUUGCCACCACCCCCGGUAAUACUUAGGUGGCAACCGUUAUCCGAAAUUAUUGGGCGUAAAGCUGGCGCAGGGGGUUUCUAAAUCCUAAGGUGAAACCCCUCGGCUCAACAUUGAAGGGUCAUUGGAAACUGGGAGACUUGUUUGCACAUAAGGGGAGUGAACUUCCAAAUGUAUAGCAGAACUGCGUUUAAGAUAUGGAACAACAC